GAUAAAUGAUGUUGUUUUAGCUAUUCCAUCAGCCAAAGUUCAUCUCAUUUACUGUUCACAAUGACCCUAUGAGCUCUCUGUUAUGAGUUAAGGAGCCUGUCUCACAAGUUCCUCCAAUCAUGUCCUGGCCGCUUUCUCCAGUCUGGAUGAGCUCCUGAGAAAACUAAAAUGGAUAAAAUGGGGUUUGUGUUAUUGUGAGCCUGCAAUUUGCUUCCUCCUUCAUAAAAUACUAGCCGGACGUCCAGUAUAUGAGCAUCAGCAUCUGUAAAUCCAGCAGCAUGACCGGUGGGCUGCUCACAUCAAGCAGGCAGACACUGUUGAUUAAGCUGGAGGUCUCCUUGAUAUCAUUUCCUGGUCUCCUGGUAUCGUCUUCAACUCCCCCAGUUUCAUUGCUGCAGGCAAGUCUUAACUCACCUGGAUUCACCUGGAGGAAGGGGACUAAUUCUAUCCACUGCUGGCAAUUAAAGAUGGCCACAAAUGCUUUUGGCCACUUCUCCCAUUGAGAAAUGGGGUCUUCUUGAAUCUGAGUGGGUUCUAGGACUUUUUGAUCAACAGAAGUUGGUGGAGGCGAUGCUGAGCCACUUUCUAGACCUAGGCAACCUCCAUUUCUGGUCUCUUGGAACACUCUCUGGGAGCCCAAGCCACCAUGCAGGAAGUUCAGACUCCCUGAGGC
ensembl:lncRNA